rnacentral:rRNA from 1 species
CAAGGAAUUUUCCACAAUGGGCGCAAGCCUGAUGGAGCAACGCCGCGUGCGGGAUGACGCCCUUCGGGGUGUAAACCGCUUUUCGAGGGGACGAAGGCAAUGACGGUACCCUCGGAAUAAGGAUCGGCUAACUACGUGCCAGCAGCCGCGGUAAGACGUAGGAUCCGAGCGUUGUCCGGAGUUACUGGGCGUAAAGCGCGCGCAGGCGGAUACGCGCAUCGGCGGUGAAAGCCCCCCGCUCAACGGGGGAGGGUCCGUCGAGAUGGCGUGUCUGGAGGCAGGGAGAGGCCAGUGGAAUUCCGGGUGUAGUGGUGAAAUGCGUAGAGAUCCGGAGGAACACCAGUGGCGAAGGCGGCUGGCUGGACCUGACCUGACGCUGAGGCGCGAAGGCGUGGGGAGCGAACGG